rnacentral:rRNA from 1 species
CAUGGUGAUAUUUGUUAAAGAUUUUAUCGGUUAAAGAUGGGGCAUGCGCUCCAUUAGUUAGUUGGUGAGGUAACGGCUCCCCAAGGCAACGAUGGAUAGGGGGACUGAGAGGUUUAUCCCCCACACUGGUACUGAGACACGGACCAGACUCCUACGGGAGGCAGCAGUGAGGAAUAUUGGUCAAUGAGCGAAAGCUUGAACCAGCCAAGUCGCGUGAAGGAUGAAUGUCCUAAGGAUUGUAAACUUCUUUUAUACAGGAAUAAUAGUUGCCACGUGUGGCGACCUGCAUGUACUGUAUGAAUAAGGAUCGGCUAACUCCGUGCCAGCAGCCGCGGUAAUACGGAGGAUCCGAGCGUUAUCCGGAUUUAUUGGGUUUAAAGGGUGCGCAGGCGGGAGAUUAAGUCGGCGGUGAAAUUUUGCGGCUCAACCGUAAAAGUGCCUUCGAAACUGGUUUUCUUGAGUGUAGAUGAAGUAGGCGGAAUUUGUGGUGUAGCGGUGAAAUGCAUAGAUAUCACGAGGAACUCCGAUUGCGCAGGCAGCUUACUAAACUACAACUGACGCUCAUGCACGAAGGCGUGGGGAUCAAACAGGAUUAGAUACCCUGGUAGUCCACGCAGUAAACGAUGAUUACUAGUUGUUUGCGAUACACAGUAAGCGACUGAGCGAAAGCAUUAA